GACGAACGCUGGCGGCGUGCUUAACACAUGCAAGUCGAGCGGUAAGGCCCUUUCGGGGGUACACGAGCGGCGAACGGGUGAGUAACACGUGGGUGACCUGCCCUCAGCUCUGGGAUAAGCCUGGGAAACCGGGUCUAAUACUGGAUAUGACUCCAUGACGCAUGUUGUGGGGUGGAAAGCCUUGUGCGGCUGAGGAUGGGCCCGCGGCCUAUCAGCUUGUUGGUGGGGUGAUGGCCUACCAAGGCGACGACGGGUAGCCGGCCUGAGAGGGCGACCGGCCACACUGGGACUGAGACACGGGCCCAGACUCCUACGGGAGGC
rnacentral:rRNA from 1 species